ACAAAUGGAGUGACUUAAAACAGCAGAAAUUUAUUCUCUCACAUUUCAGGAGCCCAGAAGACUGAAAUCAGAGUGUUGGCAUGUCCUGUCUCUGAAGGCUGCAGCAGAGCCCUUCUUUGCCUCUUCCUUGCUUCUGGUGACUGUGGGCAACCCCCAGUGUUCCCUGGCUGUAGGUGCCUCACUCCAAUCCUCCCUCUUCACAUGUCACUCACUCAAGGAGGGGCCAGUUGCGAGGUCAUGAGGACCACACUGCAAGAAUCUAAGGUCUCUUGCCGAGAGCCAUCUGAGUGAGUCAUCCUGGACAUCUUGCAACCCUAGUCAGCCUUUCGGAUGACUACAGCCACAGCUGACAACUUGAACUUAACUGCAAAUCCUAAAAGACCCUGAGCCAGAACCACACAUUUCAGCUGCUCCCACAUUUCUGACCUUCAGAA
rnacentral:lncRNA from 1 species